rnacentral:rRNA from 1 species
AUUGAACGCUGGCGGCAGGCCUACCACAUGCAAGUAGAACGAGUGGCGGACGGGUGAGUAAUGUCUGGGAACCUGCAUGAUGGAGGGGGUUACCUACUGGAAACGGUGUCUAAUACCGCAUACCAUCAGAUGUGCCCAGAUGGGUUUAGCCGUGUGGUGGGGUAACGGCUCACCAAGGCGACGAUCCCUAGCUGGUCUGAGAGGAUGACCAGCCACACUGUAACUGAGACACGGUCCAACCUCCUACGGUAGUCAGCAGUGGGGAAUAUUGCACAAUGGUCGCAAGCCUGAUGCAGCCAUGCCGCGUGUAUGAAGAAGGCCUUCGGGUUGUAAAGUACGUUCAGCGGGGAGGCGUUACCCGCAGAAUAAGCACCGGCUAACUCCGUGCCAGCAGCCGCGGUAAUAC